GUCGUCACUUCCAUUAUUGCCUGCACCUGUGCAAUCAUGUGACACGAGACACUUUUCAAAAAUGUUUUUCUAGACACAGGAGAGGUCGGGUUGAAACAUUACUGAUGUUUCACGUUAAAAAUGGCUCUAAAGAUUGAUGCUAAACAACGUUUGACAUGUUUGAACGAACGUAAAUAGAUUAUUUUUUAAACUUUUUAAACUUUUCGCCGUGACUUCCCACCCCCCCGCCAUACUUUUUAGUAGCCACCGAAGCGCUAACAACUUGGAGUUAUUUGGACAUCAAUUAUGAACUUUGUCAAAAGAAACCACAUUUGUAGUGGACCUGGGAUUCCUGGAAGUGCCAAUGGAUGAAGAUAAUCAAAGGACCUGAGCCCUAGGACCAUGCCUCAGGACUACCUGGUAUGAUGACUCCUUGCUGUCCCCAGUCCACCUGGCCGUGCUGCUGCUCCAGUUUCAACUGUUCUGCCUGCGGCUAUGGAACCCUGACCUGUUCACCGGACGUGCUUGUUGCACCCUCGACAACUACUAUGAUUAUUAUUAUUUGACCAUGCUGGUCAUUUAUGAACAUUUUAACAUUUUAACAUCUUGACCAUGUUCUGUUAUAAUAUCCACCCUGCACAGCCAGAAGAGGACUGGCCACCCCUCAUAGCCUGGUUCCUCUCUAGGUUUCUUCCUAGGUUUUUGGCCUUUCUAGGGAGUUUUUCCUAGGGAGUUUUUCCUAGCCACCGUGCUUCUUUCACAUGCUUUGCUUGCUGUUUGGGGUUUUAGGCUGGGUUUCUGUAGAGCACUUUGAGAAUAUCAGCUGAUGUACGAAGGGCUAUAUAAAAAUAAAAUUGAUUUGAUUUGAUUUGAAGGAAGCCUCCAAUGUUGCUCAUCAUUGAACUCUGACAACUGCUCCUAUCCUUUUGAGUGGCUUGACUCCAGUGGCAUGUAUUCAAGGAUUCCAAGGGAAGCCAGCCUUCCCCAAAACAAUUACCAAUAAAAAAAUACAAAAACUUCUCAAAAAAAUUCAUAAUUUCCCUUAAAUUCGCAAGAGGCUGAAUGUAUCUCACAGGAGAAAGCAUUCGAGCGAGCGAAACAGCGCCCCUCUGUCUCUCUACGUGUAGGCCAUCUAUCUGAUUCUGUCUGGACCAAACGACUGUGAAUGGUCCUGGCGGACCAAAAAAAAGUGUAAAGGAAAGCCAGCUUGGAUUUGGCAUCACUCCUAUCAAAUCCUAUCAAAUCCCAUUGAGAACAUAUGUCCAGAAACACUUGAAUUAUUGCAUCUCAUUGUGUUGUUGUCCUCCGGUGGCUAGCUAGCCAGCUAGGUAAAAUUGUCCCUUCCCUAAAUUAGCCAUGGAUGGAGAUUAUGGAUACUUAAUUCGCCAUACUGGCCAAUGAUUAUAAUGGUGUUUCUGAUCCAGCAAAGCUGUCAUCAAGGCCAAGGGUGGCUCUAAAAUAUAUUUUGAUUUGUUUAACACUUUUUUGGUUACUACAUGAUUGUAUAUGUGUUAUUUCAUAGUUUUGAUGUUUCACUAUUAUUCUACAAUGUAGAAAAUAGUAAAAGUAAAGAAAAACCCUUGAAUGAGUAGGUGUUUCCAAACUUUUUACUGGUACUGUACAUACAUGCAUACUGUCAUGACGUUGGCCUGUGGGUAAGGUUUAUGACCCCCCAUAAAUACCUUUCUCCCUUCCCCUCUCUCUCUGACUCUACUGAAGGACUCUCGAAUAGCCUUUGUUAAACAUAGAGAGUCUGGGAACAUCAAACAAGUGGGGGGAAAGGAACCAUAUUUCGGUAAUAGAACAAGUUGGAAAUAUGCGUUGGUACUUAAUGAGUAUGGAUGUCAGUUUGGUUGUCAUCUGAGACAUUAUGACUGAUGACAGGAUGACAUAAACUGUAUCUGGGAAAGUCUACACAUUCUAGUUAUCAGAUUCACAUGGAAUUGUUGUGCAAUUUGAUAUUGAAACUGUUUGUUAGAAGAUUAAAUGUAAUUUUAGCUUCCAAAUGAGAGAAUUUGGGUUUUCAUAAGGAAAGAGCCCUGCUCAAUCAGUGGCCUGCCCCUGUGAAGAGAUGGGUUAGAAACUAUGAAACACACCCUUCUCCCCCUCCACUAUAUAAGCCCUUGACGAAAAUGUAACCUUCUGUUCCGAGUACGUGAGGUCUACAGCCUCUGCGUUAAAAUGACUAACAUGUCAAGUACAGAACUAAGCCAACCUCAGCGUGAGCUUUGGUUGUGAAUGGUAUGAACUUUGAACUCUUAUUCACUACAGAAGUGAUACUUCCUAGCCGUUGAGUUAGCAGCGGCCGCUGUAAACGUGGGCUAGGAAAGGACGGACGACAUUUCCAGUCUAACACACCACGAAGAUACUACAACGUAUCCAAUUUACCACCAGUGACAUUCUUCCGAUGCCAGGAAGAUCUCUGUUGGCCAACACGGCCAGCAUCUACGACCAACCUACCGAAGCGCAGCUCAGAGUAAAUAUUUAUUGCAUUUCCUUUUCCAAAUGGGCGGUAAUUUAGAAUGCAUAAGAUACUGUAUUUACGAUAGCAUAGCUGUUUCUUUUGUUCCUCAGUCUUCCCGCUCUUUCAUUCAAGCCCAACCCCCUUUCUUUGUCUAACAAGCCUCAUACAGGUAACGUCCACCAGGGACGUUUUCUGUGUGACAUAAUUUGCAUUCAGUUUAUAUGUAAUUCUGUGUGAUUAGUUAGGUAUUUGGUAAAUAAAUAAUUAAACCCAAUUUUGUAUUGCUGAUUCAACUUGUUAGCCAGGAUUCGUGAAGAUAA
rnacentral:lncRNA from 1 species